rnacentral:lncRNA from 1 species
CCUUAUCCAAGCUCUCUCGAAAAGACCUGGCGGACCUCCCAUGGUUCGCAUUACUGGAAUUGAGUUUCCCCAAUCAGGUUUUCGACCUUCAGAAAGGCUUGAAGAGACAGGGCGCCGCCUACAGAAUUACUGCAAGAGAUUCAAUGUCCCAUUUCAGUACACUGCCAUAGCAAAGAAUUGGGAAACCAUUCAAUAUGAGGAUAUCAAAAUCGACAGAGAUGAGAUGACUGUAGUGAACUGCAUGGACAGGUUAAAGAACUUACCAGAUGAUGCAGUCUUGGACAGCCCCAGAGAUACAGUUUUGAAGCUGAUCAGGAGAAUCAACCCGGAUGUAUUCAUACAUGGAAUUGUUAAUGGAACCUACAAUGCACCUUUCUUCGACACACGGUUCCGGG